CAGUAGCCGCGGGAAUACAGAGGGUGCGAGCGUUAACCGGAAUUAUUGGGCGUAAAGCGUCUGUAGGUGGCUUUUCAAGUCCGACGUCAAAUCCCAGAGCUCAACCCUGGACAUGCAUUGGACACUACCAAGCUAGAGUACGGGAGAGGCUGAUGGAAUUUCAGGUGGAGCGGUGAAAUGCGUAGAGAUCUGAAAGAAUACCAACGGCGAAAGCACUCUUCUGGGCUGACACUGACACUGAGAGACGAAAGCUAGGGGAGCAAAUGGGAUUAGAUACCCGCGUAGUCCCUGUCUCUUAUAA
rnacentral:rRNA from 1 species